rnacentral:rRNA from 1 species
AUUGAACGCUGGCGGCAUGCCUUACACAUGCAAGUCGAACGGUAACGCGGGGGCAACCCUGGCGACGAGUGGCGAACGGGUGAGUAGCGCAUCGGAACGUGCCCAGUAGUGGGGGAUAGCUCGGCGAAAGCCGGAUUAAUACCGCAUACGACCUACGGGUGAAAGCGGGGGACCGCAAGGCCUCGCGCUAUUGGAGCGGCCGAUGCCCGAUUAGCUAGUUGGUGAGGUAAAGGCUCACCAAGGCAACGAUCGGUAGCUGGUCUGAGAGGACGAACAGCCACACUGGGACUGAGACACGGCCCAGACUCCUACGGGAGGCAGCAGUGGGGAAUUUUGGACAAUGGGGGAAACCCUGAUCCAGCCAUGCCGCGUGCGGGAAGAAGGCCUUCGGGUUGUAAACCGCUUUUGUACGGGAAGAAACACUCCUACGUGUAGGAACUUGACGGUACCGUAAGAAUAAGGAUCGGCUAACUCCGUGCCAGCCGCCGCGGUAACAC